AGAACUUCUGUUGUCCAAAUGGGAGUGAGUUCCUGGCAGAGCAUUCUCUUCUGUUUCUCUUGCGUCAAAAAUGUGCUAUUUGUGCUGCUUGGGUAUAGCAACCACAGUGGUUUAAAAUGUUAAUGAUUUCCUAGUGGUAAUUAUUUCCCACCGACUCAGACGGAAGGACAGCGUGGAUGCCUGACAAAUACUUUACUGCCUUGUGGGCCGUGGAUCAAUGUCAGCUGGGGGAACCCUGCUCCAAAGAGUUCUGCACGUUGCUUCUCUUGACUGCUGCCAGCGUAACUGUCGUAUGACGUUUGCUUCUGGACUGCACAGUUAAGAUCAGUUCAUUGUUUUUCAUGUAUAAGUUAAAUCUUGGUUUACACAGAAAAUAAAGUGCUACAACAUGGCUUCUAAUCCAGAACUAUUAUAUGCGAUGUAUCCAGUUGUCUCCUGUUUUGCUAGUGGUUCUGUCAUUGGGGUGGCCGGCCCAGGCUGGGCGGACAUCUGUCCAUGGCCUUUUCCCUCUUUCUCUGUUCCUCUAGCAUCCUUAAAUAAUAUUAAAAAGAACUGCCUGGAUGUUUCAGCUGGAAUUUUAACUGUAAAUGCUAAUUUUGUGCUUUCCAGAAAUAGUGUGCAGAGCACUCUUUUUUUUCCAUAUCUGGAAGGGGAAAAAAGGUAAUACAAUUAAUAGAAAAUAGGGAAUGCAGAAGAAAAAACAGUGAUAUAAUCUGUCUUUUUAAGUUGUUAAUAUCCAUUUUUAUUACUUUUAUAUACUAAGAUGCAUUUCUUUAUUUAAAAACAUUUUAAAAAUAAAUCAAAUCAAGUUUU
ensembl:lncRNA